GGCACGGCAGCUGUUCAGCCUGAAGGAUGGGGACAGAGGCUGGAGCGAGCAGGCAGGCAGGCAGGCAGGCAGCUCACCCACCCUAGGGAGUGCCUGCAGUGAGCCAGGCACCUUAAGGAGCCUCUCCAGGGAUGCUUCCCUUGAGGACUUCUAUCCACUCCCAGAAUUCAACUGACCACCUCCUCCUGCUCUUGUUCCUGGGUGAGGGAAUCAAACCCAGAGCUUGUAAGUAGAGAGCAGAGUUGGAGCAAGUGAAAAUUGCAUUUUGUAUAGGACUAAGGAAAUGGCACCUUGAGUGGUGACAGGGCUGACGUUGGAGAUAACGUGACACCAGGGGAACAAUGGCGCUGUGGACAGGAAAGAAAAGUGGGAGCUUCCGGGAACAGAAAAUUCAAGUUUCUCCUCAUAGCAUGUUGGAGUCAGGUAUCAGGUCUACACACACACACCUCCGCUCUGGCCUAGCUGGUUGCUUUGGGACAAUGUGGAGAACCUGCUGGAAUUCCAACUAAAGCAUUCACAUUGAGGCCCACCUCUGUGUUCUGGGUUCAGAUCCUGCUGUUACCAUACUCUGACAAAUUAUUUAAUUCUUUUGAGUCUCAAAUAAGGUAGUAAGACUUGGGUGAUUGGGUUAAGAAAUAAAUAUU
rnacentral:lncRNA from 1 species